rnacentral:lncRNA from 1 species
GAGAAGUGAGUUUUUUUUUAUGAAAGGGUGAAAAUAUGAAAAGAAACAAGAAAAAGAAAUCACCCUUGAAACCAUAGAGCAAAGAAAAAGAAAAGAAAGAAAAAACAAAGAAAAGGUUCAUGGUUGUGUGGAUGUAAAAAGAAAAAGAAAAGAAAAAGACGUUGAUCAAAGAAAUGGAAAUUGUGUAGAUUUAAAUGUAUGGAAAUGCUCCCUU